UCCGGUUUGUCACCGGCAGUCUCGCAUGAGUCCCCAGCUUUACCUGCUGGCAACAUACGACGAGGGUUGCGCUCGUUGCGGGACUUAACCCAACAUCUCACGACACGAGCUGACGACAGCCAUGCACCACCUGUGAACCUGCCCCGAAGGGAAGACCUGUUUCCAGGCCGGUCAGGCACAUGUCAAGCCCGGGUAAGGUUCUUCGCGUUGCGUCGAAUUAAUCCACAUGCUCCGCUGCUUGUGCGGGUCCCCGUCAAUUCCUUUGAGUUUUAGCCUUGCGGCCGUACUCCCCAGGCGGGGUGCUUAAUGCGUUAGCUUCGGCACGGGGGGAGUCGACACCCCCCACACCUAGCACCCAUCGUUUACGGCGUGGACUAC
rnacentral:misc_RNA from 1 species